rnacentral:tRNA from 1 species
GAGGGUACAGCUCAGUGGUAGAGCACUUGCUCGGUAUGCAUGAGGUCGGGUUCAAUCCCCAGUGCCACCG